rnacentral:tRNA from 1 species
GAGAGGUGGGUGAGUGGCUGAAACCAGUUCCCUGCUAAGGAACCAUACGCAUAUACGCGUAUCGAGGGUUCGAAUCCCUUCCUCUCC